UAACGGCGAGUGAAGCGGCAACAGCUCAAAUUUGAAAUCUGGCGCAAGCCCGAGUUGUAAUUUGUAGAGGAUGCUUCUGGGCAGCGGCCGUUCUAAGUCUCUUGGAACAGGGCGUCAUAGAGGGUGAGAAUCCCGUAUGUGACCGGCGCGCACCCUCCACGUAGCUCCUUCGACGAGUCGAGUUGUUUGGGAAUGCAGCUCUAAAUGGGAGGUAAAUUUCUUCUAAAGCUAAAUACCGGCCAGAGACCGAUAGCGCACAAGUAGAGUGAUCGAAAGAUGAAAAGCACUUUGGAAAGAGAGUUAAAAAGCACGUGAAAUUGUUGAAAGGGAAGCGCUUGCAACCAGACUUCGCGGCGGUGUUCCGCCGGUCAAACGACCGGUCCACUCGCCGUCGCGAGGCCAACAUCGUCUGGGGCCGCCGGAUAAGACCGCGGGAAUGUGGCUCCCUCGGGAGUGUUAUAGCCCACGGUGAUGCGGCGCGCCUCGGGCGAGGUCCGCGCUUCGGCAAGGAUGUUGGCGUAAUGGUUGCCAGCGGCCCGUCUUGAAACACGGACCAAGGAGUCUAACAUCUAUGCGAGUGUUCGGGUGUCAAACCCCUACGCGUAAUGAAAGUGAACGGAGGUGGGAGCUUCGGCGCACCAUCGACCGAUCCUGAUGUCCUCGGAUGGAUUUGAGUAAGAGCAUAGCUGUUGGGACCCGAAAGAUGGUGAACUAUGCCUGAAUAGGGUGAAGCCAGAGGAAACUCUGGUGGAGGCUCGCAGCGGUUCUGACGUGCAAAUCGAUCGUCAAAUUUGGGUAUAGG
rnacentral:rRNA from 1 species